AUAAUUCAAAGGUUCGAUCUCUCGUUGUUGUCUGCAAGGAUAAAUAUAGCGAAUGGAAGCCAUCAAGUUUAAGCUUUACGAGGUUACAAGUGCUGAGGGUAUUAAAUCUCACUGCAGCCAUAUUUGAAGGAGGGAAGUUACCUUAUAGCAUUGGAAAGCUCAUCCAUUUAAGAUAUCUGAACUUACGACGUUCAAAUGUAUCUCAUCUACCAUCUUCUCUACAAAAUCUGAAGCUGCUGCUCUAUUUGAAUCUAUGUUUAAGCUGGUCUCCAGACUCAGUUUAUGUGCCCAAUGUCUUAAAAGAGAUGCGGGAGUUGAGAUACCUUGAAUUACCAUGGGGUAUGCAUAAGAAGACAAAGUUGGAAUUGAGAAAUCUAGAGAAAUUGGAGACCUUGAAGAAUUUCUCAACAGAGAAUAGCAGUGUAGAGGAUCUACGUGGUAUGUCCAGGUUGAGGACUCUCAGAAUGGAAUUAACUGAGAGGCAAAGUAUAGAAGCUCUGUCGUCAUCAAUAGGUGGACUGAGACACCUGGAAGAUCUUGUUAUAAAAUAUUAUAGGAGAUUUGACAAGAGGAAGAUAGAAAAGGGAUUUGUUUUGGAGGCCGUUCGUCUCAAACAGCUGUCUUUGAAGAUAUAUAUGCCAAGCUUACCUAAACCCUUGCCUUCUCACCUUACAACCAUAUCUCUUAAGGAUUGUUGUUUGGAAGAGGAUCCAAUGCUGAUUCUAGAAAAGUUACCCCAAUUGAAAGAGGUUGUAUUAAGUGUGAAUGCUUUCAGUGGGAGGAGAAUGGUUUGCUCGGCCGGUGGGUUUCCUCAAUUGCAGAAGCUUGUGUUUGAUGGAUUAGAAGAGUGGGAAGAGUGGAUAGUAGAAGAAGGCUCCAUGCCCCUUCUUCAUACUUUGGAGAUUGCUCACUGUAAGAAGUUAAAAGAGUGGAUAGUAGAAGAAGGCUCCAUGCCCCUUCUUCAUUCUUUAAAGAUUAGGGAUUGUUGUUUGGAAGAGGAUCCGAUGCCGAUUCUAGAAAAGUUACCCCAAUUGAAAGAGGUUGAAUUAAGUGUGAAUGCUUUCAGUGGGAGGAGAAUGGUUUGCUCGGCCGGUGGGUUUCCUCAAUUGCAGAAGCUUGUGUUUGCUGGAUUAGAAGAGUGGGAAGAGUGGAUAGUAGAAGAAGGCUCCAUGCCCCUUCUUCAUACUUUGCAGAUAUUUAUUUGUAAGAAGUUAAAAGAGGUUCCUGAUGGGUUACGAUUCAUCACUUCCUUAAAGAAUCUGACUAGUUAUGGAAUGGGAGCCAGAUGGAAGAAGAGACUGUUGGAAGGAGGAGAAGAUUAUUACAAAGUCCAACACAUCCCUUCUGUUACAUUCGGAGACGAAUGAUUGAGAAUGAGGCUUUCAGAAUUACAGUACAGACUACGUACCAGGUACACAAAAUCAUCCUCAGAAAAGGGGAAAUGAAUUCUCUGUUUGUUUUCACAAUUGAAUCUAAAAUUCUUAGAGUGGAUUACAAUUCUGCUGAAAUUGAUUGAGUUUACUUUUUUCAUUCGUAUGUUUUGUAGACGAAUCUCUUCCCAGGCGAAUCACUCUUAUCAAACUAGUCAUCUGCCUUUUGCAAUUGUUGUUUUCUCAGUUUAUAUAAUCAGACUAAACAAUUUCUAUUAUUUAUGUUUGCUGGUUUGACUGAUCAUUCGAUCUCAACCUUUUAUCACUCUCUUCACUCAUUCUUAAUGACUGUUGUGUCGGAUCGUGCACUGAUUAUUAUUGUGGUUUUUUUUUAUAUUAUUAUUCAACAUUGGAUUUAUGUUUGCUUGUUUGAUUAAUGAGUAAUGAUGAUCAUUAAUUUGGGCGAUGCAAGCUACAUGGGGACUAGGUUAUCGACAAGUAGAAUUUGAAGGAGAUAAUUUGAUUCUGAAUAAUAUUCUCCAUGGUAAAGGGCAGAAUUGGCGAGUUCAACAUUACAUUGAUACAAUCCAGAAUGGAAGGGCAUGUUCACCGACGUUGUGUUUCAGUUCAGGCAUCGAGAAGCUAACUUUUGUGCGGAUAUAUUAGCUAAGAAAGCUGUUUCUUCGGAUUUACCAUGGUCUCUGUACCAUUCUUGUCCUUUAUUCCUGCAACCUUAUGUAAACAAUGAUAUGGUUUUUUGAUUUCUAAUAAAGGAUCUUUAGUCGGAAAAAAAAAAAAAAAUCUCAAACACUUUUCAUUCAAUUAAAUCAUAAUUUUUACUCUUAGAUUGUCUAUUUUUUUCGACAACAUAAUAUCUAAUACAGUUCGAAAAUCUAAUUUGGUAUAUAUAUAUGGUUCUCAUUAUGACACUCAAUUAAAUAACCUAACUAAAUUCAUUUUUUAUGGUCUCAUUAUGAGACUUAAUUAAAUAACAUGGUUUAUAUGGUCUCAUUUUUUACUAUAUGGAGGAUGUGAUUGUUCACUUUUUUAAAUAAAAUAAAAUUAUGAUUUAAAUAUGAGAGGGCAAGAUAAUGGUUUAAAAUAAACUAUAAUUCUAUUAUAUAAUAUAAUAUUUACUAAUUUUAAAAUAAUUUUUAUUUUAAUAUUUUAUAUGUUCUGAUAACUUAACCCACAUAUGACCACAAUUAUAAAAAAAAACCUAAUAUAUCCUAUCUUUUUUUAUCAACCCUAACCUGUCAUAUCAAAUUAUAAUAUUUAUCAGUUUUCAAUUCGCUUAUUCUAUUAAGCAGAAAAUAACUGUGGUUAUGAAACCAUAAUUCUAACUCACCAUAUAUAAUAUAAUAUUUACUAAUUUUGAAAUAAUUUUUAUUUUAAUAUUUUAUAAGUUCUAACCACAAUUUUAGCUCACGUAAGACCACAAUUAUAAAAAAACAUAACCUAUUUUAUCAAAUUAUUAUAUAAUAUUAAUAUUUAUCAGUUUUUCAAUAUGUAAAAUUUUAGUUUGAUUUUAAAAUAUGAUUAAAUAGAAUAAAAUAUUCAUUAAUCAUAUAUGUUAUUCUGAAAAUAUUAGUUGAACUUAAAUGUUAAAUUAAAUGGAAUCUAUAUUUAAGGAAGUCUAAAGUAAUUUAAAUUAAUAUAUAUAUUUUCUAAAAUUAUAUUUAAUUACAAAAAUAAACAGUUUGUAUUUUAAAUUAAAUAGAAUUUAUAUUUAUGGAAAUCUUUAGGUAUCUAAAUUAAUCUCUAAUUUUCGAAAUUAAAUUUAUAUAUAAAAGAAAAUGUGUUUUUAGAUAAUAUUGCAAUAAAUUAGAAUAAUUUUAAAAUUGUUUUUAAAUAAUUUUAAUAAAAAGUUUUAAGAAUAUUUGGAAGCAAGUACUAAAAAUGGUUUUGUUUUAAUAUAAUAGAUUUAAAUAUGAAAGACCUACAUUGAUUUUUUCGUCAUUAAGUAGCUUGAUUCUUAUUUUAAAACAAAUUUAGCAGAAACCAUUAUGGCUGGGAAACUUUUGUCGUUUGGAGUACAAAAGCUUUGUGACGUACUGAGCCAAGAAUAUGCGCACUUUCAUGGAGUUGAUGAAGAAGUUACUGAACUCAAACGUGAACUUGACUUGUUAAGCUCUUUUCUGAAAGAUGCGAAUGUCAAGAAACAUACUAGUGCGGUGGUGAGAACAUUUUUGGAACAGAUCAAGGAAAUUAUUUAUGAUGCAGAAGAUAUAGUUGAUACCUUUCUUCUUAAAGAAAAAUUUGGAAAAACAAGUGGCAUCAAGAAGCGUAUCAGAAGACUUGCUUGUGUUUUUCCAGAUCGUCGGGAAAUUGCAUUAGAUAUUGAAGGCAUAAGUAAGACGAUCUCCAAGAUGAUUAGUGAUAUGCAAAGUUUUGGAAUACAGCAAAGUAUUGCUGAUGGCGGGUAUAUGCAACCUCUACAUGAUAGACAAAGAGAGAUGCGACAAGAAAUUGAUAGGGAACACGAAAGCAAUUUUGUGGGGGUGGAAGAAAAUGUUGAUAAGUUGCUUGGAUAUUUGGUGGAGGAUGAUAAUGUUCAAGUGGUUUCCAUGACUGGGAUGGGUGGUCUCGGAAAAACCACCCUUGCUAGACAAGCUUUUAAUCAUGAGAUGGUUAAACAUAAGUUUGAUAGACUAGCAUGGGUGUGUGUUUCACAAGAUUGUAAGCUGAAGAAUGUUUGGCAAACAAUCUUGCAGAAUCUCAAACCCGAAGAAGAAGAAAAGAAAAUACUGGAGAUGACAGAAUUUGCACUCCAUCGUGAACUCUUUGGACUGCUGGAAACAUCUAAAUCUUUAAUUGUCUUUGAUGACAUUUGGAAAGAAGAAGACUGGAGCGUAAUCAAGCGAAUAUUUCCACCCAAAAAAGGUGAUUUUUACUUAACAAAAAGAAAGAUGAAAACAAGUAAUACUCAUUAUGCUCUUUUUGUAUGAUUAUUAUGAAAUGAGUAAAUAUUUUGCAGGUUGGAAGGUGUUACUUACUUCUCGAAAUGAGAAUGUCGCAGGGCAUGGAGAUACAACAUAUAUCAACUUCAAACCGGGAUGCCUAACUAUUGAAGACAGUUGGACACUUUUCCAAAAAAUAGCAAUGCCAAGCAAAGAUGCAUCCAGUAAGCAUUCAAAAGCAGCGAUUUUUUUUUUCUUCAUUUUGAUCAAAAUGAAAUAUGUUUUUGAAUGAUAUCAAGACAAUCUUCUUAGCCCUAAAUAACUGAUUGUAGUAUAUCAUUAUCACAACCUAUUGAACUGUUACUUUUGUUGUCCAAAUGAAGUUUUUUUGUUUUCUUCUAUGAUGUUGUGCAGAUUUGAAGAAGGUUGAUGAGGAAAUGGAAGAGAUGGGUAAGCAAAUGAUCAAACAUUGUGGGGGAUUGCCUUUGUCAGAGUAUUAGGAGGCUUAUUGGCUACAAAACACACACUGUACGAUUGGGAACUAGUAUCUGAGAAUAUUCAAUCUCAUCUCAUGGGAAGAACUGAGUUCAAUGGUGACAACAACAGUUUAAUUUACCAUGUAUUGUCACUGAGCUUUGAAGAGCUGCCUAGUCAUUUAAAGCAUUGCUUCCUCUACUUGGCCCAUUUUCCAGAAGAUUAUGAAAUACGUGUGCAUGAACUCUCCUAUUACUGGGCUGCAGAAGAAAUACGCAGGUAUCACGAUAGAGAGACCAUUCGAGAUGUUGGAGAAAUGUAUAUAGAGGAGUUGGUGAGGAGAAAUAUGGUUAUUUCCCAAAGAGACGUGAAAACUCUGAGAUUUGAAACUUGUCAUUUGCAUGACAUGAUGAGAGAAAUUUGUUUGUCUAAAGCGAAAGAAGAGAACUUCCUACAAAUAGUCGGUAUCUGCUCCCAGACCCCACGCUCUUGUAGUACAUCUCGCAGAUUUGUGUCACAGCAUCCGACUACAUUAGAUGUUGAGAGAGAGAUAAAUAAUUCAAAGGUUCGAUCUCUCGUUGUUGUCUGCAAGGAUAACUAUAGCAGCGAAUGGAAGCCAUCAAGUUUAAGCUUUACGAAGUUACAACUGCUGAGGGUAUUAAAUCUCACUGCAGCCAGAUUUGAAGGAAAGAAGUUACCUUAUAGCAUUGGAAAGCUCAUCCAUUUAAGAUAUCUGAAUUUAAAAAAUGCAUAUAUCACUCAUCUACCAUCUUCUCUACAAAAUC
rnacentral:lncRNA from 1 species